rnacentral:rRNA from 1 species
UACGGAGGGGGCGAGCGUUGUCCGGAUUUAUUGGGCGUAAAGAGCGUGUAGGCGGUUUGGUAGGUCCGCUGUGAAAACUCGAGGCUCGACCUCGAGACGCCGGUGGAAACCAUCAGACUAGAGUCCGGAAGAGGAGAGUGGAAUUCCUGGUGUAGCGGUGAAAUGCGCAGAUAUCAGGAAGAACACCCGUGGCUAAGGCGGCUCUCUAGUACGGUACUGACGCUGAGACGCGAAAGCGUGGGGAGCGAACAGG